rnacentral:rRNA from 1 species
AGUCAGUUCAGGCAGACCCGAAACCGGGUGAUCUACCCAUGUCCAGGUUGAAGUUUCCGUAAAAGGAAAUGGAGGACCGAACGCACAUCCGUUGAAAAGGGUGGCGAUGAGGUGUGGGUAGGGGAGAAAUUCCAAUCGAACCCGGAGAUAGCUGGUUCUCCUCGAAAUAGCUUUAGGGCUAGCCUCGUAUUAGUUUAGCGGAGGUAGAGCACUGAAUUCUUAAGGGGGCGUCAAAGCUUACCAAGAGAUAUCAAACUCCGAAUGCCGCAUAAAUGAUGUACGGGAGUCAGACUGCACGAGAUAAGUUGGGUAGUCAAAAGGGAAAGAGCCCAGACCUACAGCUAAGGUCCCAAAGUGUGUGUUAAGUGGAAAAGGAUGUGGGAUUUCAAAGACAACUAGGAUGUUGGCUCAGAAGCAGCCACACAUUCAAAGAGUGCGUAAUAGCUCACUAGUCGAGAGGUCCUGCGCCGAAAAUGUCCGGGGCUGAAACACAACACCGAAGCUUAGGAAUUGACGUAAGUCAAUUGGUAGAGGAGCAUUCUUAACUGCGAAGAAGCGUUACCGUAAGGAGGCGUGGAGUGUUAAGAAGAGAGAAUGCCGGAAUGAGUAGCGAGAUGGAGGUGGGAAUCCUCCAGGCCGAAUAUCUAAGGUUUCCAGAGUAAAGCUGAUCUGCUCUGGGUAAGUCGGGGCCUAAGGCGAGGUCGAAAGACGUAGUCGAUGGACAACAGGUUGAAAUUCCUGUACCGCGUAUUAUCAGAACUGUGGGGACACAGAACCGAAGCCAAACCCGGGAAUGAAAAGACCGGGGCAAGCGCCGGACUGGUUAGACUGGAAAAACCGUCUAGCAACAGGAAAGCGUGAUGCGUACCGAACACAAGUAGGGAAGUUGGUAUAGGGGCUGUCAAGAAAAGCCGCUAUUGUGUAAUACGUGCCCGUACCGUAAACCGACACAGGUGGAUGAGGAGAGAAUCCUAAGGCCGGCGGGAGAAGCAUUGUUAAGGAACUCGGCAAAAUGACCCCGUAACUUCGGGAUAAGGGGUGCCCACGAGAGUGGGCCGCAGAGAAUAGGCUCAAGCAACUGUUUAGCAAAAACACAGGUCUAUGCAAAACCGAAAGGUGAGGUAUAUGGGCUGACGCCUGCCCGGUGCUGGAAGGUUAAGAGGAGAGGUUAGGAGCAAUCCGAAGCUUUGAAUUUAAGCCCCAGUAAACGGCGGCCGUAACUAUAACGGUCCUAAGGUAGCGAAAUUCCUUGUCGGGUAAGUUCCGACCCGCACGAAAGGCGUAAUGAUUUGAGCGCUGUCUCGACAAUGCACCCGGUGAAAUUGAAGUACCAGUGAAGAUGCUGGUUACCUGCGCCAGGACGGAAAGACCCCAUGGAGCUUUACUCCAGCUUGAUACUGGGAUUCGGUGUCGCAUGUACAGGAUAGGUGGGAGGCAGUGAAGAUAGGACGCCAGUCUUAUUGGAGCCAAUGUUGGGAUACCACCCUUGCGAUAUUGGGUUUCUAACCUGCGGCCAUGACCUGGCCGGGGGACAAUGUCAGGUGGGGAGUUUGACUGGGGCGGUCGCCUCCGAAAGUGUAUCGGAGGCG